rnacentral:rRNA from 1 species
GAUGAACGCUAGCUACAGGCUUAAACACAUGCAAGUCGAGGGGAAACGGCAUUGAGUGCUUGCACUCUUUGGACGUCGAACCGGCGCACGGGUGAGUAACGCGUAUCCAACCUUCCCCAUUACUGUGGGAUAACCUGCCGAAAGGCAGACUAAUACCGCAUAGUCUUCGAUGACGGCAUCAGAUUUGAAGUAAAGAUUUAUCGGUAAUGGAUGGGGAUGCGUCUGAUUAGCUUGUUGGCGGGGUAACGGCCCACCAAGGCAACGAUCAGUAGGGGUUCUGAGAGGAAGGUCCCCCACAUUGGAACUGAGACACGGUCCAAACUCCUACGGGAGGCAGCAGUGAGGAAUAUUGGUCAAUGGACGGAAGUCUGAACCAGCCAAGUAGCGUGCAGGAUGACGGCCCUAUGGGUUGUAAACUGCUUUUGUAUGGGGAUAAAGUUAGGGACGUGUCCCUAUUUGCAGGUACCAUACGAAUAAGGACCGGCUAAUUCCGUGCCAGCAGCCGCGGUAAUACGGAAGGUCCAGGCGUUAUCCGGAUUUAUUGGGUUUAAAGGGAGCGUAGGCUGGAGAUUAAGUGUGUUGUGAAAUGUAGACGCUCAACGUCUGACUUGCAGCGCAUACUGGUUUCCUUGAGUACGCACAACGUUGGCGGAAUUCGUCGUGUAGCGGUGAAAUGCUUAGAUAUGACGAAGAACUCCGAUUGCGAAGGCAGCUGACGGGAGCGCAACUGACGCUUAAGCUCGAAGGUGCGGGUAUCAAACAGG